rnacentral:rRNA from 1 species
UAGGGAAUAUUAGUAAUGGGCGAAAGCCUGAACUAGCAACGCCGCGUGUGCGAAGAAAGCCUUCGGGUUGUAAAGCACUUUUUGAGAGGAUGAGGAAGGACGGUACUCUCAGAAUAAGUCUCGGCUAACAACGUGCCAGCAGCCGCGGUAACACGUAGGAGGCGAACGUUAUCCGGAUUUACUGAGCGUAAAGCGCGUGUAGGUGGUUUGGUAAGUAGGGCGUGAAAGCUCCUGGCUCAACUGGGAGAGGACGUUCUAAACUGCCAAGCUUGAGGAUGGUAGAGGGAGGUGGAAUUCCGGGUGUAGCGGUGGAAUGCGCAGAUAUCCGGAGGAACACCAGUGGCGAAGGCGGCCUCCUGGACCACUCCUGACACUCAGACGCGAAAGCUAGGGUAGCAAACGG